UACGUAGGGUGCAAGCGUUGUCCGGAAUUAUUGGGCGUAAAGAGCUCGUAGGCGGUUUGUCGCGUCUGCUGUGAAAACGCGAGGCUCAACCUCGCGCCUGCAGUGGGUACGGGCAGACUAGAGUGUGGUAGGGGAGAUUGGAAUUCCUGGUGUAGCGGUGGAAUGCGCAGAUAUCAGGAGGAACACCGAUGGCGAAGGCAGAUCUCUGGGCCAUUACUGACGCUGAGGAGCGAAAAGCGUGGGGGAGCGAACAGG
rnacentral:rRNA from 1 species